rnacentral:snoRNA from 1 species
AUUCCCACUCAACGCUGUGUUCUCGGUUUUGUAUGACUGCUGAUCACAUUAUAACAAUGUGGGUAUAACGAGGCGCUCUACUAAAACACAUGCAGGUUUCAUCAAUAAAUUUGUGUGCACCUAAGUCUUGCUACAAUUU